rnacentral:rRNA from 1 species
CCAAGCGUUGUUCGGAUUUACUGGGCGUAAAGGGCGCGUAGGCGGCUUGACAAGUCACUUGUGAAAUCUCCGGGCUUAACUCGGAACGGCCAAGUGAAACUGUCAUGCUAGAGUGCAGAAGGGGCAAUCGGAAUUCUUGGUGUAGCGGUGAAAUGCGUAGAUAUCAAGAGGAACACCUGAGGUGAAGACGGGUUGCUGGGCUGACACUGACGCUGAGGCGCGAAAGCCAGGGGAGCAAACGGG